AUUGGACAAUGGGCGCAAGCCUGAUCCAGCCAUACCGCGUGGGUGAAGAAGGCCUUCGGGUUGUAAAGCCCUUUUGUUGGGAAAGAAAUCCAGCCGGCUAAUACCUGGUUGGGAUGACGGUACCCAAAGAAUAAGCACCGGCUAACUUCGUGCCAGCAGCCGCGGUAAUACGAAGGGUGCAAGCGUUACUCGGAAUUACUGGGCGUAAAGCGUGCGUAGGUGGUUGUUUAAGUCUGUUGUGAAAGCCCUGGGCUCAACCUGGGAACUGCAGUGGAAACUGGACAACUAGAGUGUGGUAGAGGGUAGCGGAAUUCCCGGUGUAGCAGUGAAAUGCGUAGAGAUCGGGAGGAACAUCCAUGGCGAAGGCAGCUACCUGGACCAACACUGACACUGAGGCACGAAAGCGUGGGGAGCAAACAGGAUUAGAUACCCUGGUAGUCCACGCCCUAAACGAUGCGAACUGGAUGUUGGGUGCAAUUUGGCACGCAGUAUCGAAGCUAACGCGUUAAGUUCGCCGCCUGGGGAGUACGGUCGCAAGACUGAAACUCA
rnacentral:rRNA from 1 species